rnacentral:rRNA from 2 species
AGACCCGAAACCCGGUGAUCUAGCCAUGGGCAGGUUGAAGGUUGGGUAACACUAACUGGAGGACCGAACCGACUAAUGUUGAAAAAUUAGCGGAUGACCUGUGGCUGGGGGUGAAAGGCCAAUCAAACCGGGAGAUAGCUGGUUCUCCCCGAAAGCUAUUUAGGUAGCGCCUCGUGAAUUCAUCUCCGGGGGUAGAGCACUGUUUCGGCUAGGGGGCCAUCCCGGCUUACCAACCCGAUGCAAACUGCGAAUACCGGAGAAUGUUAUCACGGGAGACACACGGCGGGUGCUAACGUCCGUCGUGAAGAGGGAAACAACCCAGACCGCCAGCUAAGGUCCCAAAGUCAUGGUUAAGUGGGAAACGAUGUGGGAAGGCCCAGACAGCCAGGAUGUUGGCUUAGAAGCAGCCAUCAUUUAAAGAAAGCGUAAUAGCUCACUGGUCGAGUCGGCCUGCGCGGAAGAUGUAACGGGGCUAAACCAUGCACCGAAGCUGCGGCAGCGACACUCAGGUGUUGUUGGGUAGGGGAGCGUUCUGUAAGCCUGUGAAGGUGGCCUGUGAGGGUUGCUGGAGGUAUCAGAAGUGCGAAUGCUGACAUAAGUAACGAUAAAGCGGGUGAAAAGCCCGCUCGCCGGAAGACCAAGGGUUCCUGUCCAACGUUAAUCGGGGCAGGGUGAGUCGACCCCUAAGGCGAGGCCGAAAGGCGUAGUCGAUGGGAAACGGGUUAAUAUUCCCGUACUUGGUGUUACUGCGAAGGGGGGACGGAGAAGGCUAUGUUGGCCGGGCGACGGUUGUCCCGGUUUAAGCGUGUAGGCUGGUUUUCCAGGCAAAUCCGGAAAAUCAAGGCUGAGGCGUGACGACGAGGCACUACGGUGCUGAAGCAACAAAUGCCCUGCUUCCAGGAAAAGCCUCUAAGCAUCAGGUAACAUCAAAUCGUACCCCAAACCGACACAGGUGGUCAGGUAGAGAAUACCAAGGCGCUUGAGAGAACUCGGGUGAAGGAACUAGGCAAAAUGGUGCCGUAACUUCGGGAGAAGGCACGCUGACACGUAGGUGAAGUGAUUUACUCA